rnacentral:misc_RNA from 1 species
GGAAACCGUUCGAGAAGAGUUAGAACAGUUGAAGGGCCAUUUUAUGCUUAUUCUGUUUCCAUUUUGGCAACUUAUAAAAUGCAUCUUUAGUCAUUCCAAACUUCUCCCUGAACUCUUCUGAUGAGAGGUAAGUCUCUCGUUUUGUGACAUCAAUGUCUGAAAUGGGGUCGGUUGAUGUAGUCUUUAGGCGCUCAUAUGGAUAUGUUGUGAGGCCUUCAUCAUCUUCAGUCUCACCUUCUUUCACGUCUUCUUGUAUGGUGAGAGUUUCAAUUCUGACCGUCUUUAUGUUCUCCUUCUCCUGAACCUCCUUAUCAUUAUUAUUAGUCUCU